CCUUCACGUGCUCCUUUCUUUUGUCCAAUAUUUUGCCGAUUUUCUUCUACAUCCCACCCGCUAACAACACUCCAAGCAGAUCCAGCAAAUUAGACAACUUCUCGGCCAACAACAACAUGCAAAAUAUAAGGAAAGUGCGGUUAAGAAGGUGCUGGGUUUUCAUUCGGCAGUCAAUUGCAACACUCCAGCGGCGAUUCCAGCAAGCUCUCCGGCAGCUUAACCUGCUAGCUGUACUUCCGAUUGCUCCUCCCGUUCGUCAACUGCCUCCAACAACUACAUCGACUGCUUUUCCACCUACGUUGACCAAGUAAAUUCGUACUUCUGGCUUGACCUUUGUUCCCCUACUACUAUUUGUCGAUUUCUUUUUUCCAAAGCACUUUAAACUAUUUUUUUAAUAUCCAGCCUGCGUAUACAUUUUUUUAUUUUCACACAUUUCAGCAAAUGGCUUCUAGGAUUCAAUGGACUGAUGCAAUGGACAAAACUUUUCUCAUAGCCUAUGUUAGCUUUAAGGAAAAUAACUGGUGGGACAAUAAGAAGUCGCUUGAGAUGAACUAUGACAUGUUGGCAGGCCAUUUGGUCAGUAAUGGCAUCAUGACUGUCAUUGGACAGCAAUUGUAGAUCAGAUUCUAUCACAUCAAGAAAAAAUGGAACUUGUUCUCUAAUCUGCAUGGGAUAUCCUCAAAAUUAGAGACCGGGGUUAGAUGGGUUGCGGACAGCUACUGCUUCACUGCUGACGACGAACACUGGGAAAAAGUGGUGCAGACCAAUUCCUCAUAUGCUGAAUUCAAAAAAGAGAACUUAUGCUACUAGUAUGAUCGGCUGACACCAAUACUGCUUGAAAAACACGCCACAGGCAGCCGUGCCCAAUCUGCAAGCGAGGUAGUACCACUGGCACUGCCUCACCGUCAAAGGGCCAACACUUUUGCUAGAAAUCGGAAGGAAAAAAGUAAAGCCUCUAGCUUGAGAUCCCCUAAUCCUGCGGACAUGGGUGAACAAGGGGAUGAAGAUGAAGUCUACUAUGUUCCUCUAGUCCCAGGGGUUGUGGGAGGAAAACGGCCAAUCUCAAGCCUAAGGACAAGUGGUGAGCUGGAAGGGACUAGAGGGUCAAAAUCAACCAAGUCAUCUACUAGUCUAGAGGAUGCUGUUAGCAAAAUUGGACAUUACACCGAACUUGCACUGGAGGACAGACGGAGUAGGAUGGAGUUCGAGUCCCUAUAUAGUGUAAUCCAAUGCUAGGACAUGAUCAAAACAAUGGAGAUUCCCAACCAUUGGAGAAUACAUGCUAACUGCCAUUAUGCCAAUAGUGAUAGAGAGGGGGAACAAGUUGUGUUCUUUAGGAGUUCUGAUGCAGACCGAUACGGCUAUAUCCUUAAGUUAAUGCAGGAGAAGGGCUUGGCUUGAGUUGUAGCUGCUGAAAAUUUUAUAUUUGAAAUUAUGUGUGUUGCUGAGAUUUCAAAGUUUUUUUUAUUUCUUGUUGGCCUGAAGUUUGUGUUUUGGCACAACUUCACCCGUGGGCAGCAUGCCCAAUUUUGAUGCAUGUAACAUAGAGGUCAGCAAUCAUUUUAAUUAGUUUGUUGGUAUGUAUUUCCCUACCUCACUUUGGUGGAGUAGGCUUUGUCAGGAUUGACUAUAAGAUGAAUUUUUUAUUUAUCGGAAUUUGUAUCUUAGUUAGUUUUGCUGUUCUUACGAA